rnacentral:lncRNA from 1 species
GUGAAUCUUGCCCAAAUAUUUAACACUGGCAUGGGUUGUCUCCAAACCACUGCAUGUUUAGCCUGAUUCCUCCUUGGCUGGACCAUCUAAGAACCCUAGAACUCUCUAACCACAUCUAGAGCCAAAAUAAUGUAUAUCUCUCUACCGGGGGAAUUGCAGGCCCAUACGAUUUGAGCCACCAAUGCUGGAUUUCCAUGAACAACCAGUUGGAAUGCCAAAAAUGGAAAAAGUCUACUUACAUAAUCCUAGUUCUGAAGAAACGAUUACUUUAGUAUCAAUAUCUGCUACAACAUCACAUUUUCAUGCAUCAUUUUUUCAAAAUAGGAAAAUUCUUCCAGGAGGAAAUACAUCAUUUGAUGUAGUUUUUCUUGCAAGAGUAGUAGGAAAUGUAGAAAAUACUUUAUUUAUUAAUACAUCUAAUCAUGGGGUAUUUACUUACCAGGUAUUUGGUGUUGGAGUUCCAAAUCCAUAUCGAUUGAGGCCGUUCCUUGGGGCCAGAGUCCCUGUGAAUAGCAGUUUCUCACCUAUAAUAAACAUCCACAAUCCUCACAGUGAGCCUUUACAG